UGUAACUGACGCUGAGGCUCGAAAGUAUGGGUAGCAAACAGGAUUAGAUACCCUGGUAGUCCAUACCGUAAACGAUGAAUGCUAAGUGUUGGAGGGUUUCCGCCCUUCAGUGCUGCAGCUAACGCAUUAAGCAUUCCGCCUGGGGAGUACGGCCGCAAGGCUGAAACUCAAAGGAAUUGACGGGGGGCCCGCACAAGCGGUGGAGCAUGUGGUUUAAUUCGAAGCUACGCGAAGAACCUUACCAGGUCUUGACAUACUAUGCAAAUCUAAGAGAUUAGACGUUCCCUUCGGGGACAUGGAUACAGGUGGUGCAUGGUUGUCGUCAGCUCGUGUCGUGAGAUGUUGGGUUAAGUCCCGCAACGAGCGCAACCCUUAUUAUCAGUUGCCAGCAUUAAGUUGGGCACUCUGGUGAGACUGCCGGUGACAAACCGGAGGAAGGUGGGGAUGACGUCAAAUCAUCAUGCCCCUUAUGACCUGGGCUACACACGUGCUACAAUGGAUGGUACAACGAGUUGCGAACUCGCGAGAGUAAGCUAAUCUCUUAAAGCCAUUCUCAGUUCGGAUUGUAGGCUGCAACUCGCCUACAUGAAGUCGGAAUCGCUAGUAAUCGCGGAUCAGCAUGCCGCGGUGAAUACGUUCCCGGGCCUUGUACACACCGCCCGUCACACCAUGAGAGUUUGUAACACCCAAAGUCGGUGGGGUAACCUUUUAGGAACCAGCCGCCUAAGGUGGGACAGAUGA
rnacentral:rRNA from 2 species